rnacentral:rRNA from 1 species
CCCUUAGAUGUCCUGGGCCGCACGCGCGUUACACUGAUGCAUUCAACGAGCUUAUAACCUUGGCCGAGAGGCCUGGGCAAUCUUGUUAACGCGCAUCGUGAUAGGGAUAGAUUAUUGAAAUUAUUAAUCUUGAACGAGGAAUUCCUAGUAAACGCAGAUCAUCAAUCUGCAUUGAUUACGUCCCUGCCCUUUGUACACACCGCCCGCCGCACCUACCGAUUGGAUGGUCCGGUGAAGCCUCGGGAUUGUGGUUCUUGCCGCUUUAUUGUGGCGUGACCGCGAGAACUUGUCUAAACCUUAUCAUCUAGAGGAAGGUGAAGUCGUAACA